GCAGGAAAUCAAUGAGUUUGGUUUGCUGAGAAAUAGUGCCCUCCAUUUUCACUUUUUCAUGGGAAUAGAGAACCUGAAUGUUUUCCAGCUGAUAUUCCAGAUCACUUCUUUCAGUCUUGAGAAGAUCUGCUCGAUCUAGAGCUUCCUGCAGACCUUGAGUGAGGCGGAAGAUGUGGUUCUUUUGCAGAUCCAUCUGCUGCUGCAGCUUUGCCUGCUCCUCCAGAAGCCUCUGCUUGAGCUCCCUUUCUGUCUCAAGCUUCUGUUGUAAACUGCGUGCAUUCAUCUCCAACAUAGCAUGCUUCUUCUCCAGGUCAUUGAGCUUAUCAGAAAGGCUCUCAGCUUUGAGUUUUUGUUCUUUUAGUGCUUGCUGGAGGGCUAGAAUCUCUGCCUUGUGUUCUUUGACAGCUAGUUCUACCACCUGGCGAGAUUCAGUAAUACGCUGAUCUGCUCUCACUCUGCUCUGUUUCUCAGUAUCCAGCAUCCUCUGCAACUCUCUGACACGACAUUCAAACUGAGACUUCUCAUCCCCCAGAACAUUUCUCCAUGCUUCCC
rnacentral:lncRNA from 1 species